rnacentral:rRNA from 1 species
AGGAUAAACGCUGGCGGCGUGCCUAACACAUGCAAGUCGAACGUCUCUUUCUUCGGGAAGAGGAGUGGCGGACGGGUGAGGAACACGUGGGAACCUGCCCUACAGUGAGGAAUACCGGCGAGAAAUCGCCGACAAGACCGCAUAGCCCUCUCUGGUGAGAGCCAGAGAAGGAAAGCUUCGCAAGAGGCGCUGGAGGAGGGGCCUGCGUCCGAUUAGCUAGUUGGUGGGGUAAGAGCCUACCAAGGCGUCGAUCGGUAGCUGGUCUGAGAGGACGAUCAGCCACACUGGGAUUGAGACACGGCCCAGACUCCUACGGGAGGCAGCAGUGGGGAAUCUUGCGCAAUGGGCGAAAGCCUGACGCAGCAACGCCGCGUGGAGGACGAAGGCUUUCUGAGUUGUAAACUCCUUUCAGCAGGGACGAUUGUGACGGUACCUGCAGAAGAAGCACCGGCCAACUACGCGCCAGCAGCCGCGGU